rnacentral:rRNA from 1 species
CACGUAGGGGGCAAGCGUUGUCCGGAUUUAUUGGGCGUAAAGAGCUCGUAGGCGGCUUAGUAAGUCGGGUGUGAAACCUCCAGGCUCAACCUGGAGACGCCACCCGAUACUGCUGUGGCUAGAGUCCGGUAGGGGAGCGUGGAAUUCCUGGUGUAGCGGUGGAAUGCGCAGAUAUCAGGAGGAACACCGAUGGCGAAGGCAGAUCUCUGGGCCGUAACUGACGCUGAGGAGCGAAAGCAUGGGGAGCGAACAGG